GUGCCCGCAUAUGUGGUAAAAUCGAAGUAAUUCAGAGACAAUUAGCAUGGCCCCUAAGCAAGAUGACAUGCAAAAUUUUAAUAAUUGCAUAUAUUA
ensembl:snRNA U6 U6 spliceosomal RNA